UAAGAUCAACAAAGAAGCUAAAGAAGUCGCUUUGGUUAGUGAUAAUAAGUAGGGGGGAGUAUGGUCGCAAGGCUGAAACUUAAAGGAAUUGACGGAAGGGCACCACCAGGAGUGGAGCCUGCGGCUUAAUUUGACUCAACACGGGGAAACUCACCAGGUCCAGACACAAUAAGGAUUGACAGAUUGAGAGCUCUUUCUUGAUUUUGUGGGUGGUGGUGCAUGGCCGUUCUUAGUUGGUGGAGUGAUUUGUCUGCUUAAUUGCGAUAACGAACGAGACCUUAACCUACUAAAUAGUGGUGCUAGCAUUUGCUGGUUAUCCACUUCUUAGAGGGACUAUCGGUUUCAAGCCGAUGGAAGUUUGAGGCAAUAACAGGUCUGUGAUGCCCUUAGACGUUCUGGGCCGCACGCGCGCUACACUGACGGAGCCAGCGAGUCUAACCUUGGCCGAGAGGUCUUGGUAAUCUUGUGAAACUCCGUCGUGCUGGGGAUAGAGCAUUGUAAUUAUUGCUCUUCAACGAGGAAUUCCUAGUAAGCGCAAGUCAUCAGCUUGCGUUGAUUACGUCCCUGCCCUUUGUACACACCGCCCGUCGCUAGUACCGAUUGAAUGGCUUAGUGAGGCCUCAGGAUCUGCUUAGAGAAGGGGGCAACUCCAUCUCAGAGCGGAGAAUUUGGACAAACUUGGUCAUUUAGAGGAACUAAAAGUCGUAACAAGGUUUCCGUAGGUGAACCUGCGGAAGGAUCAUUAAGAAA
rnacentral:rRNA from 1 species